GAGUUUGAUCAUGGCUCAGGAUGAACGCUAGCGGCAGGCCUAAUACAUGCAAGUCGAACGAGAUUAUCCAGCUUGCUGGAUAUGACAGUGGCGCACGGGUGCGUAACGCGUAUGCAACCUACCUUAAUCAGGGGGAUAGCCCGGAGAAAUUCGGAUUAACACCGCAUAAAAUCACAGUACGGCAUCGUACAAUGAUCAAAUAUUUAUAGGAUUAAGAUGGGCAUGCGUGUCAUUAGUUAGUUGGUGAGGUAACGGCUCACCAAGACCACGAUGACUAGGGGAUCUGAGAGGAUGACCCCCCACACUGGUACUGAGACACGGACUAGACUCCUACGGGAGGCAGCAGUAAGGAAUAUUGGUCAAUGGAGGCAACUCUGAACCAGCCAUGCCGCGUGUAGGAAGACGGCCCUCUGGGUUGUAAACUACUUUUAUCUAGGAAUAAACCUACUUACGUGUAAGUAGCUGAAUGUACUAGAAGAAUAAGGAUCGGCUAACUCCGUGCCAGCAGCCGCGGUAC
rnacentral:rRNA from 1 species